AUUGAACGCUGGCGGCAUGCCUUACACAUGCAAGUCGAGCGGCAGCGCGGGGGCAACCCUGGCGGCGAGCGGCGAACGGGUGAGUAAUACAUCGGAACGUGUCCAGUAGCGGGGGAUAACCUGUCGAAAGAUAGGCUAAUACCGCAUACGACCUAAGGGUGAAAGCGGGGGACCGCAAGGCCUCGCACUAUUGGAGCGGCCGAUGUCGGAUUAGCUAGUUGGCGGGGUAAAAGCCCACCAAGGCGACGAUCCGUAGCUGGUCUGAGAGGACGAUCAGCCACACCGGAACUGAGACACGGUCCAGACUCCUACGGGAGGCAGCAGUGGGGAAUUUUGGACAAUGGGGGCAACCCUGAUCCAGCCAUGCCGCGUGAGUGAAGAAGGCCUUCGGGUUGUAAAGCCCUUUCGGCGGGGACGAAACGGUUCGUGACAACACCACGGACUAAUGACAGUACUUGCAGAAGAAGCACCGGCUAACUACGUGCCAGCCGCCGCCGUAA
rnacentral:rRNA from 1 species